rnacentral:sRNA from 1 species
AUGGCGUCAAACAAGGACGAAACCCUCAAACCCCUCAAGAGACGGAAGAUUCUACAGAACAGGAUCGGGUGCGAACUCUUACGGAAAGGGGAGAACAACAUUAUGAAGACAAGAGGGAACAUCAUAAGGACAGAGUGGAAAAGGCUUGGACCAGAUUUCAAGAGACAGGAAGAGGCAUCAAUUCAGAAGAAGAAAGCAGAAAUACAACACAAAAAGGAAGAGGAGCAACUUGACGCUGAGCUAUCGGUUCUUAAACUGAAGAAAGAGGCAGUAGAAAUGGAGGCGGAAGUUAAAGCUGCUUCUAUCUAUGAUGAAGAUGAACGUCCUCCCUCUUUAGCUAUUCCUGUGGUCCAAACUCGUAAACCAUCUACCACAUCACGCAUGACUCCAGACCAGAGGUCAGUGAUUGUCCGGAAGACAGAUGUCCAUACUAACACUUCAGGGCCUCCAGACAAAGUGUGCCCGAUACAUUUAUCAGAUCAUUCUUUAAACCACUGCAGGGAAUUCUCAAGAUGGGAUAUGAAAACGCGCAAGGACUUGUUAAAGAAGAAGGGCAUCUGUUUUAAGUGCUGUGCAUCAAAUAACCAUCUGAUGAAAAACUGCAAACACCCCAUACAGUGUGAGAAAUGUGACAGUGAACUACACCCAACAGCACUGCACGUUACUGAGUCCAAUACUAGAAGAACAACCUUCAACAGUUCAGAAACGGCAAACAAUUAUGGCGGGGAGGGAACAGAGGUAUCCUCUAAAUGUACUACACUCUGCGGCUUUGUUAAUGGUGGACGCUCCUGUGCUAAGAUCGUUCUAGCGAAGGUAUUUCCCACUGAUCGUCCGCAAGAUGCUGUUACUGUGUAUGUGUUGCUUGACGACCAGAGCAAUCACACCCUAGCGCACUCUGAACUUUUAAACCAACUUGGGGUCACAUCUGACCCUAUCCCUUAUAGACUUAAAUCCUGUGCUGGAGUGACUGAGGCAUCUGGGGGAAGAGCAGUUGGAUUCUGUAUUCAGUCUAUGGACGGACUUGCUUAUCACAAGCUGCCGCCCAUUAUAGAGUGUAAUGACAUUCCAGAUAAUGUGAUGGAAAUUCCUACCCCAGAGGUUGCCCGUGCUCAUCCUCACUUACGACACAUCGCCAAUGAACUCCCCCCACUCCGCAAAGAUGUCAGCAUACAGCUCUUGAUUGUCGAGCGCCCAAUUGAGACCAACGACAGAUUGGUCCGAAAGGCUGUCAUUCGUGUCGUCAAGGAUGGAAAAGUGACGACCUACACCAGACCUAUUGCGGAGAUGGUACUUCUUCUGGAAUAGUGAUUACAUGUACAUGUAUUUACGUUGUGUAUCAGUUUCAUUUUAGUGAUAGCGAGCGCAGCUCGCCGGCGCGCAGCGCCGGCGCGAAGCGAGCUCUACCGGCAAGGCGUGUGUGAAUAGAAAAUUCGGACUAGUUGCACAUUCAUUCAACGGAUUUUUUUGGCGUCAGUAAAUCGGACCAGUAAUGCAUCGUUUUAAUCGUCCCAGUAGUUCCCUGUAAUCAUGGCAAUUUUUAUCACUUCACACUCUCACGAGAAUGAGCAAGACAAAUUUAGACAGUAAAAACAAUAACGAUGUAAGCGACAUACAGUCAAUGUUACCUCUAAAGUUCACCUCAGUACACUUUCAAUAAAAAAUAAUCGUGUGACGUCACAAACGUUUAC